AGCGAACGCUGGCGGCAGGCCUAACACAUGCAAGUCGAACGAAGUCUUCGGACUUAGUGGCGGACGGGUGAGUAACACGUGGGAACGUGCCCUUUGGUACGGAAUAACUCAGGGAAACUUGAGCUAAUACCGUAUGUGCCCUUCGGGGGAAAGAUUUAUCGCCAUUGGAGCGGCCCGCGUCUGAUUAGCUAGUUGGUGAGGUAAAGGCUCACCAAGGCGACGAUCAGUAGCUGGUCUGAGAGGAUGAUCAGCCACAUUGGGACUGAGACACGGCCCAAACUCCUACGGGAGGCAGCAGUGGGGAAUCUUGCGCAAUGGGCGAAAGCCUGACGCAGCCAUGCCGCGUGAAUGAUGAAGGUCUUAGGAUUGUAAAGUUCUUUCACCGGGGACGAUAAUGACGGUACCCGGAGAAGAAGCCCCGGCUAACUUCAUGCCAGCCGCCGCAGUAA
rnacentral:rRNA from 1 species